GAUGAAGAACGUAGCGAAAUGCGAUAAGUAAUGUGAAUUGCAGAAUUCAGUGAAUCAUCGAAUCUUUGAACGCACAUUGCGCCCGCUAGUAUUCUGGCGGGCAUGCCUGUUCGAGCGUCAUUUCACCACUCAAGCCUCGCUUGGUAUUGGGCAACGCGGUCCGCCGCGUGCCUCAAAUCGACCGGCUGGGUCUUCUGUCCCCUAAGCGUUGUGGAAACUAUUCGCUAAAGGGUGUUCGGGAGGCUACGCCGUAAAACAACCCCAUUUCUAAGGUUGACCUCGGAUCAGGUAGGGAUACCCGCUGAACUUAAGCAUAUCAAUAAGCGGAGA
rnacentral:misc_RNA from 1 species